rnacentral:rRNA from 1 species
UACGUAGGGUGCGAGCGUUGUCCGGAAUUAUUGGGCGUAAAGAGCUUGUAGGCGGUCUGUCGCGUCUGCUGUGAAAAUCCGGGGCUCAACCCCGGACUUGCAGUGGGUACGGGCAGACUAGAGUGUGGUAGGGGAGACUGGAAUUCCUGGUGUAGCGGUGAAAUGCGCAGAUAUCAGGAGGAACACCGGUGGCGAAGGCGGGUCUCUGGGCAGUAACUGACGCUGAGGCGCGAAAGCGUGGGGAGCGAACAGG